rnacentral:rRNA from 2 species
UGGGGAAUUUUGGACAAUGGGCGAAAGCCUGAUCCAGCAAUGCCGCGUGCAGGAUGAAGGCCCUCGGGUUGUAAACUGCUUUUGUACGGAACGAAAAGCCUGGGGCUAAUAUCCCCGGGUCAUGACGGUACCGUAAGAAUAAGCACCGGCUAACUACGUGCCAGCAGCCGCGGUAAUACGUAGGGUGCAAGCGUUAAUCGGAAUUACUGGGCGUAAAGCGUGCGCAGGCGGUUUUGUAAGACAGUGGUGAAAUCCCCGGGCUCAACCUGGGAACUGCCAUUGUGACUGCAAGGCUAGAGUGCGGCAGAGGGGGAUGGAAUUCCGCGUGUAGCAGUGAAAUGCGUAGAUAUGCGGAGGAACACCGAUGGCGAAGGCAAUCCCCUGGGCCUGCACUGACGCUCAUGCACGAAAGCGUGGGGAGCAAACAGGAUUAGAUACCCUGGUAGUCCACGCCCUAAACGAUGUCAACUGGUUGUUGGGUCUUAACUGACUCAGUAACGAAGCUAACGCGUGAAGUUGACCGCCUGGGGAGUA